AGAGUUUGAUCCUGGCUCAGGACGAACGCUGGCGGCGGCUUAACACAUGCAAGUCGAACGGAAAGGCCCCUUUCGGGGGGGCUCGAGUGGCGAACGGGUGAGUAACACGUGGGUGAUCUGCCCUGCACUUCGGGAUAAGCUUGGGAAACUGGGUCUAAUACCGGAUAGGACCAUGGCAUGCAUGCGCUGUGGUGGAAAGUUUUUGCGGUGUGGGAUGGGCCCGCGGCCUAUCAGCUUGUUGGUGGGGUGAUGGCCUACCAAGGCGACGACGGGUAGCCGGCCUGAGAGGGUGUCCGGCCACACUGGGACUGAGAUACGGCCCAGACUCCUACGGGAGGCAGCAGUGGGGAAUAUUGCACAAUGGGCGCAAGCCUGAUGCAGCGACGCCGCGUGGGGGAUGACGGCCUUCGGGUUGUAAACCUCUUUCACCAUCGACGAAGGUCCGGGUGUUCUCGGGUUGACGGUAGGUGGAGAAGAAGCACCGGCCACUCGUCCAGCAGCCGCGGUAAUACGUAGGGUGCGAGCGUUGUCCGGAAUUACUGGGCGUAAAGAGCUCGUAGGUGGUUUGUCGCGUUGUUCGUGAAAUUCCCUGGCUUAACUGGGGGCGUGCGGGCGAUACGGGCAGACUGGAGUACUGCAGGGGAGACUGGAAUUCCUGGUGUAGCGGUGGAAUGCGCAGAUAUCAGGAGGAACACCGGUGGCGAAGGCGGGUCUCUGGGCAGUAACUGACGCUGAGGAGCGAAAGCGUGGGGAGCGAACAGGAUUAGAUACCCNNGUAGUCC
rnacentral:rRNA from 1 species